rnacentral:rRNA from 1 species
GACGAACGCUGGCGGCGUGCUUAACACAUGCAAGUCGAACGGGCCUUGUCCCCUUUUUUUUGGGGGUGGGGUUAGUGGCGAACGGGUGAGUAACACGUGAGUAACCUGCCCCUCACUUCUGGAUAACCGCUUGAAAGGGUGGCUAAUACGGGGUGUUCUGGCCUGCUCGCAUGGGUGGGUUUGGAAAGAUUCGACCGGUUUUGGUUGUUUUGGUGGGGGAUGGGCUCGCGGCCUAUCAGCUUGUUGGUGGGGUGAUGGCCUGCCAAGGCUUUGACGGGUAGCCGGCCUGAGAGGGUGGGCGGGCACACUGGGACUGAGACACGGCCCAGACUCCUACGGGAGGCAGCAGUGGGGAAUAUUGCACAAGGGGCGCAAGCCUGAUGCAGCGACGCCGCGUGAGGGAUGGAGGCCUUCGGGUUGUGAACCUCUUUCGCCAGUGAAGAAGGUCCUGCUCUUUGUGGUGGGGUUGACGGUAGCUGGGUUAAUGAAGCGCCGGCUAACUACGUG